ACAGCUCUCUAUCCCCAACCUUUCUCACCCUCUGGAAUUGAGGGCUUUUACUGCUUCCCCCAUUAUUUUUUUAAUUAAGUAAUGAAUAGUAUUUUAUUAUUAUUAUUAUUUUUGGCUGCAUGGCAUGGCAUACAUGAUCUUUUCUCCCUGACCAGGGAUUGAACCUGUGCUCCCUGAAGUAGAAGCAUGGAGUCUUCACUACUGGACCCCCAAACUUGCAGGAGAUAAAGUGGAGUGCGAGAAGAUGGUCACGUCCCAGGUCUCAGGCGAGUCCCUGGGACGGCUGCCAAGUGUGGAUUCUUGGCUUCGCACAGGAAAGAGUUCAAGAGAGAGCUAUAGUAAAGUGAAAGAAGGUUUAUUCAGGGAGAUACAUACUCCACAGACAGAGUGUGGGCCAUCUCUGAAGUUCUAGGUACAUAACGAUGAACUAUUCAACACCAAAAUCUUUGCAGCAUAGACAUUCUGAUUCCUGCUUCAGCUCUGCUCUGCAGUGGAGUUACCAUUACUAUUUUAUCUCUGGAGAUUAAGUGCCUCUAUUUGCCAUCUGCCACCCUGGAAUUCCAUUAUCCCCAUUGAUUUCUGGGACCCCAGAUCCAUGACAGUAGUUUCUGCUUAUAUUUCUGAACAAUAGAAAGUAGUCACAGGGACUUCCCUGGUGGUCCAGUGGUUAAGAAUGCAGGGGACGCGAGUUCCAUCCCUGGUUGGAGAACUAAGAUCCCACAUGCCACAGGGCAACUGAGCCGGUGUGUCGCGACUACUGAGCACCACAACUAUAUAGCCCACGUGCUGCAAACUACAGAGCCUGUGCACUGUGGAGCCCAUGAGCCACAACUAGAGAGAAGCCUGCACAUCGCAUCUACUGAGCCUGUGUGCUCUGGAGCCUGUGCACCACAACUAGAGAGAAGCCUGCUCGUCGUAAUGAAGAGCCCAUGCACCACAAUGAAAGAUCCCUCAGGGCGCAGCGAAGGUCCCACCUGCCCCAACCCGAUGUAGCUAAAUAAAUAAAUAAAUAUUUAAAAAGAAAAACAUAUGUAAUCACAAAGGAGCUCAUUAAGGACACUGUGGACUCCCCAUGAAUAUAUUUCUUCCAGACUUAAUGAAGGGAGUGUAUUCUGAUCCACCUGAGGGGUGUAUUAGGAGAUAAAUAAACAAAUAGGACAUCAUAAAUACAUUCUACCGUUCCGAUCUCACUAAGACUUUGGUUGUAUCCCUCAGUAAUAUGACAGGGAAUUUCUAGCAUUUAAUUUAAUUAAAUGUAAGCACUUUUUGGUCCCAGAUUUUAGUCAUUUGCAAAGGAAAAUGUUAAAGCUACUCCUAGCUUCUUGAUUUAACAUAUUGAAUCCAGAACCUUGGCUAAGUGAGACCUUAUUGCUCUCCUCAGCCUGAGCCAAAUUUGUAUUUCUUCUACCUUAAUCUAAAAACCUUAGGAUUAAUUCUCACUUGUUUACCUAGGUUUUGGUAAAUGUAGAAUGUUAAAAUCAUAUGUGAAAAAUUUUUGGUAUAUGUAAUACUUUCCAUGUCACACUUUGUACAUUACCUUCUGGCCCUGUUGGAACUUGACUCUGGUUAUAGAUGUAGGAGCAUUAAGAAUUGUUGGAGAUAGGAUAUGGAGAGGAUUAGCAGUCUCUUCUUGCAAGAGAACUGUCUCAGUGGGGAGGAAAUUAUAGUUUCUUCAAACAAGAGGAAACUAACGUCUUUAAAACAAGAGGUUGAAGAGAUAAUUCUAAAAGAAAGGCAGUUUAGCAGAGUUUAAAAGUUCAACUUUCCAAUCUUAUUUGGAAUUUUUCCAUAUGCCUCUAUCCUAAUAUUUAGGACCCCAAUCCUUCCCAAUCAAUACCGUAAAUUUAUCAUAAAAAGCCUUGCAAGCUUGAGAAUUCAAUUCUGUAAUCUUAUAAUUUAGGUAUGAUUUUUUUAUAGAUCUUUAUUGGAGUAUAAUUGCUUCACAAUACUGUGUUAGUUUCUGUUGUACAACAAAGUGAAUCAGCCAUAUACAUACAUAUAUCCCCAUAUCUCCUCCCUCUUGAGCCUCCCUCCCACCCUGUCUCUUCCACCACUCUAGGUCGUCACAAAGUACAGACCUGAUCUCCCUGUGCUAUGCUGCUGCUUCCCACUAGCUAAAUAUUUACCAUUUGGUAGUGUAUAUAUAUCAAUGCUACUCUUACUUCACCCCAGCUUGCCCCUCCAUCCCGUGUCUUCAACUCCAUUCCCUAUAUCUAUAUCUUUAUUCCUGCCCUGCCACUAUGUUCAUCAGUACCACAUUCAUAUGGGAAUACAAAAGACCCUGAAUAGCCAAAAUAAUACUGCAAAGAAAAGUGGAGCUGGAGGAAUCAGGCUCCCCAACUUCAAACUAUACUACAAAGCUACAGUAAUCAAGACAAUAUGGUACUGGCACAAAAACAGAAAUAUAGAUCAAUGGAACAAGAUAGAAAGACCAGGGAUAGACCCACACACAUAUGGUUGCCUAAUUUAUGACAAAGGAGGCAAGAACAUACAAUGGAGAAAAGACAGCCUCUUCAAUAGUGGUGCUGGGAAAACUGGACAGCUACAUGUAAAAGAAUAAAAUGAGAACACUACCUAACACCAUACACAAAAAUACACUCCAAAUGGAUUAAAGACCUAAAUGUAAGACCAGACACUGUAAAACUCAUAGAGGAAAACAUAGGAAAAACACUCUUUGACACAGGUAUGAUUUUUAUAAAUAUGAGCAAUAUGUCUAUAGAAGAUGAGGUUUUAUUUUAUGGUAGUCAGCUCCCUUAUAAGAGAUUUGGGCAGGAAAAUUAGUGUUGUGAACUCAUCAUUUUUUUGCUCCAAAUUUCACAGCCCAUUUAGAAGCCAUAAAAGCAAAGAAACAGAAACAAACAAAAAACCUUCCUAAUGUGAAGUUAAUGUGUCUGCUACAUAGUUCUCCCUUCCAAAUUUCUUGCAAAGUACUUCAUUUGGUCAUGCUAACCUAUAAUUAUGUAGGAAAGAGAAUUCUGUAAAAAGACAGCAUCAGUCUAGCUGUGUUGGCCCAGUAG